GGGUAAACUGUUGGGGAAGAAAAUGUGCAAUGAAAAUUGCUGAGUAAACUGCCUGGUAGUGCACCAUUUAGCAGGAUAUGGAUGGCAGAGAACUUACUGACUGGCUGCAUCAUAGCCUGGUCCAGCACCUUGAACGUCCAGGAAUGAAGGAGGCUGCAGAAAUCCAUGGACACAAGCCAUCACAGAUAAUCAAGAAAAGGAUGCACGCAAGGAGAUGAAAAUGGUGUACCAUGCUCGAACUGCUGUUUCAUUUGCCUUCCUGAUGGCUCACUGCAUCUUCACAUUUAUCUUAAGUGAUUUGCGUACCAGGACAGACACAAAAUGCUGGAGUAACACAGCGGGUUAAGGAAUAGGAGAUGUUUCGGGUUGCGAUCCUCUUCAGACUGAGAGUCAGGGGAGAGGGAAACUAGAAGGACGAAUAAGUCACCUUGACCAUCAACGUCUCCCAAUCUGUCACCAUUUAAAAAACAGUCCGCAUGUCAGUGUUGUGCACCAAAGUGGACGACCUCUCAUUUAUUUUACAAAGACACAAGGAACUGCAGAUGUUGGUUUACAAAAAGAGACACAAAGUGCAGGAGCAUGUCAGUGAGUCAGAUAGCAUAUCUGGAGAUCAUGGAUAGUGAUGUUUCAGGUCAGGACCCUUCUUCAGUCUGUCGCCUGUCCAUGUUCUGCAGAGAUGCUGCCUAACCGCUGAGUUCCUCCAGCACUUUGUGUAUUUUCUCAUUUUUCUACAUUGUUUUCUAUUUGCUCAGCUCUUGUCCACUCGAUCAGCUUGACCAUAUCUCCUUGAUGUUUCUUUAUGCCCUCAUGCCCAUUCAUAGUUUUGUAUCAUCAGCAAACUUGGAAAUAAAUGUUCUUUGUGAAUCACAAA